rnacentral:rRNA from 1 species
UACGUAGGGGGCAAGCGUUGUCCGGAAUCAUUGGGCGUAAAGAGCGUGUAGGCGGCCCGAUAAGUCCGCUGUGAAAGUCCAGGGCUCAACCCUGGGAUGCCGGUGGAUACUGUCGGGCUCGAGUCCGGAAGAGGAGUGUGGAAUUUCUGGUGUAGCGGUGAAAUGCGCAGAUAUCAGGAGGAACACCAAUGGCGAAGGCAGCACUCUGGGACGUGACUGACGCUGAGACGCGAAAGCGUGGGGAGCAAACAGG